GGCGCCUCUCUGUCCUCCCCAUCCUUCGGCUCCUCCCUAUGGACUGGGAGUGCCAGCAGUUACAGAAGGGUGCUGGUGGAAGGUUGGAAAAUGAAGGUGCCCAUGGGGCCUACCUAUACUCAAGGUUAAUCCAAUGACAUCUGCACAUCAAGGUUAACAGUCACAGAUGCCAUGGUCCCUGGAGGGCUGGCUCGUUGGCACUGGAGGACCUCGCAGGCUGGUCCCAUGAUGGGGAGGAGGGGUCCUGUCUUGGGCAGGGAACUGGGCCUCUCUCCACUUCAGUCUGUUGCCCCAGCUAGUUGAGUUGAGGGAUUUCAGGGCUGGGUAUCGCCAGGGCAAGGAGUGUUCUGAAGUGAGGGGCAGGGGCUGUAGGGAGGGCGAGUUCAUAAAAUGACACUUUCCCUUC